CAGUCAAUGGAUCGCGUUAAUGUUCUUGAGAAAUCACUCAUUAGCACGGGGGGAUGUGGACUGAAGGUGGGAAGGGACCUGCUAAGAGAGAGAGGAAUGUAUGAUAUAAAACAGCCCUGGCAGGGCCGGGGGCUGGGGCUCAAGAGGCAGAGCCAACGGGUGGGAGUUUGGAGACAAAGGUGGGGAAGGAGAGGUAGAAGUCCAGGGAUGACUUCACAUUUGAAUUUACCUGGCGAAUUCCAGAGUGCCAACAAAUGAGAUGGGUCAUAUGAGAAGAAGAGCAGGUUUGAGCAAUGCUGAGUCUGGGGAGCCAAUGGAAUAUCCAGUCAGGAAUGUCUGUUUUGCAGUUGUGGAGAAAUGGGUAAAUGGGUUUGAAGCUGGGGAGAGGGUCUGGGUAUCAAUUUGGAAGUAAGUACUCGGAAUGUGUGCAUCCUUGUUUAUCCUUAUUAUCUCAAAAAUUUGCUGCUGUUAGGAUAUCUUUAUACCUCUAGCAUUUUAUGCACUGAUUAUAUCCUGCCUGGGAUCAAUAUGUCUCUGUCUCUAACUUACAGUUUUUGCUCUACUUGGAAUUGUUUCUACCUGUUGGUAUAUUUAGUUCCACUCUCUGAUUCUUCUCUAGGCAUCUUAGAUCAUAGAGCUCUCCUAUUGGAAAGUGUUCCUUACCUCCCAAGUCCUUCACUUUUAACAUCUGGAGAUGAAGAUUGCUUUUGAGGGAAAAAAUAAUCAAAGUCCUUUAAGAAUGCCUUAUAUUCAUAUGUGUUUAUAGCAGAAGGGGUAAAUGCAUGCUAAAUAUUAUUUGCUCUUCUAGGCACUACAGCUUUGGAACCAUUACUUUGCUUCCUGGCUCUAAAUGAUUUGCUUUUAAUUUCUCAAAAUAGACAUUAGGACAUUUCUUUUACUUAAACAAAAGCCAUUAAACCAUUCUUUGUGGAGCAGUGAGCUUCCAUACUGAUAUUGUUCAAAUAUACAGAAGCAAUAUUGUUACUGCUAUUUUAUUAUUUUGUGUCUUUAGGCAGAUCAUUUAACCCACUUGAACUUUAGUUGCCUGGCAUGUGAGAGACAUGCAUAAUAUUUUGCUAUGAUUGCUAAGUUAAUUACGGUGUGAAGGAAUUUAUGACAUGAUCAGAAGAACUUUUUUUUCUCCUUUCCAGAUGUUACUGUUUAUGAAGAUCACUGGAUUGGUGAGACAGUACUACAGUCAACAUUUACCAGUCAGUUAUUAAAUCUUGGGAGUUACUCAUCUGUCCAGUCUGAAGAGUACUCCAAUAUAGUUAAUGAUGUUGUACUUCGAGACUUACUGGCAUAUGUGUCUUCAAAACAUUCCUAUCUCAGGGAUCUUCCUCAGAGGCAGCCUCAGAAAAUGAACAGUAUAGAAUUUGUAGAUUUGGAGCAGCUACAGCCGGACGUAUUGGUCCACGCAGUACUAAGAGUUAUUGAUAUCACUGUGCUGACAGAGGCAUUAUACAGUUAUAGAGGACAGAAGCAAAGGAAAGUUAUGUUAACAGUGGAACAGGUCCAAGGUCAACAUUAUGUGCUUGUAUUAUGGGGUCCUGGAGCAGCCUGGUACCCUCAACUUCAAAGGAAAAAAGCGCAAUGACAUCCUAGAAAGCCUAGAAUUGCAUACAACAUUUUGGUCAUCCUGUGAGUGCCUGUUUGACGAUGAUAUAAGGGCAAUUACAUUUAAAGCAAAAUUUCAAAAAAGCAUGCCCUCCUUUGUGAAGAUGUCAGAUUUAGCAACACACCUGGAGGAUAAGCAUUCAGGAGUGAUUCUAAUCAAAGCCCAGAUUUUAGAGUUAGUGAUUCCUAUCCCAGCAGCUCAGAAGAUAGCUCUAAAUGCCCGCAGCUCUCUGAGGAGCAUCUUCUCUUCUCUUCCGGACAUUGUAUAUACUGGCUGUGCAAAAUGCGGAUUGGAACUGGAAACAGACAAGAACAAGAUCUAUAAACAGUGUUAUAGCUGCUUGCCAUUUACUCUGAAGAAGUUAUACUACAGGUGAGGCAGCCAAGCAAGCCAUUGGGAUGGAAAAGAUUUAUUAUUAUAUGACUGGACAUGACCGAAAAAUUGCAUAUAUCAAUUCUUACUUUCUAAUGAGAACUAACUAGAACUAAUCCAAGAGAAUAAAAAUUUUCCCCUGGCUAUUUAUGAAAGCAAAAAUUGUCCAGUAAUCAUAACAGGGAUUUUUAAAAGCAGUAAUUGGAAGACUUAUUAUCUUCAAGCAGCUAUAUUGAAGAAAAUUUUUACUUGGUUUAUAUUUUUAAGCAAGAUCUAAAUGGCUCAUAAGAAACUGAUUUCCAUACUUUAGCAUCUAAUUGGAAUUUAAAGGUUAAAACUGUUCUAUCAUCUAACCUCUCAGUGUGGAAGCUAAUAAGAUGUUUAACUUUUCUGUGCCUCAGUUUUCCCAGCUUCACAUUAGAAAUUAAGGAUUGCAAAUGUUCUUUGGUAAAAUUGCAAACCAGCUCAGUGAAAAACACAUUUUUCAAAUAAUAAAUGUUCAAAAGCUUG